rnacentral:rRNA from 1 species
AGCGAACGCUGGCGGCGUGCCUAACACAUGCAAGUCGAACGUGAACGGCUUCGGCCUAGUAAAGUGGCGUACGGGUGAGUAACGCGUAGGUAAUCUACCCCAGAGUCUGGAAUAACCGGCCGAAAGGCUGGCUAAUACUGGAUAGAGCGACGGAAUCCGUAAUUGGAUUUUUCGGGAAAGGGAGGCCGCAAGGUCCCUUGCUCUGGGAUGAGCCUGCGUCUCAUUAGCUAGUUGGUAAGGAACGGCUUACCAAGGCUUUGAUGGGUAGCUGGUCUGAGAGGAUGAUCAGCCACACUGGAACUGAAACACGGUCCAGACUCCUACGGGAGGCAGCAGUGGGGAAUCUUGCGCAAUGGACGAAAGUCUGACGCAGCCACGCCGCGUGAGUGAAGAAGGCCUGGUGUAAG